AAAACGACUCUCGGCAACGGAUAUCUCGGCUCUCGCAUCGAUGAAGAACGUAGCGAAAUGCGAUACUUGGUGUGAAUUGCAGAAUCCCGUGAACCAUCGAGUCUUUGAACGCAAGUUGCGCCCAAAGCCUCGGCUGAGGGCACGUCUGCCUGGGUGUCACAC
rnacentral:rRNA from 2 species